GCAUAGCCCCGAUUGCAGUGAAAAUCCUUUUUGCAGCGCCACGCAGUGCGCUGCAAAAAGAUUGCAACGGAAAGCGGGAAAUAGC
rnacentral:sRNA from 1 species